rnacentral:rRNA from 1 species
AUCUACGGCCAUACUUUGGCCAAUCUCGUCUGAUCUUGGAAGCUAAGCAGAGUUGGGCCUGGUUAGUACUUGGAUGGGAGAAGAAGGUGUUGGAAGAGUUACAGCUUGGGACUUACUGGGAAGAGGUAGAAG